GGGGGCGACAGGCUUCGACAGGAGUCUUAAUCGUCGAGCGGAUGCAUGCCGGGCUCCUUCAUGCAGCUCGUUAAAAAGUGUGAAGAAAAAGCAAACGCCAAUAAUCAAGAAUUGGCUCUCGCUGCCUAAUUAAGCACCGAGCGUCUCGCCGCAAGUUGCUCGUGCGCGCGGAAUGAGAUGUCACUCAGAUGAGCUGGCCUGGCCUUUCGGUCCGUGAG
rnacentral:tmRNA from 1 species